AUUCCCCUUAUAAAGGCAUUCGGCAGGAGGUGGGAUCUCAUGAAAAAAAUGGAUGAAUUCUACAGAAAAUAACAUUCAAAACAAUCAGUGGUGCAUUUGGCAAGGGGACAAAAAAGUUAGCGUGCUAAGAUUUGUCACUGGAAAGCCAAGAUUCAACAGAACUUCCACCCAAUGAAUGUCCUAAUGUGUGACGUACAAACUACUUACUUUG